AUCUGGGUCAGGGACACAGAGGUGAGACCAUUUCCUGAGUGAACUAGUUCAGUGGAGUCAGAAGAAGCCAAAAGAAAGUAAACAGGUGACAAUCUGGGGUGAGGCUUUUCAACCUCCCUUAGGAUACGAAUUUGAGAGUUUCUAACUCAUGUUAUCUUAUGGGGCAGAGAGAUUACAGCUGACCUUCGGAAAGAUAGGCGACAACGUAGGACAGUGUAAGAGCCAAUGAAGGGAGCAAACAUCAGUGCCAGAGCUUAGGGACAGGAUGCGGAAGUUCUCCUGAAAGAGAAAAGAUUCCCAGAAAUGAACUCACUGAUGUAGAAGGUAUGAACAGUUUUAAUGCUCUUCCUUGUUGUCAAAAGAAUUCAGAAGGCAUCCGGAGGAGGGGCUUCUAUCUCCAGACUCGUCCCUUACAGCCUCUUUUUGCCUCUUUUCCAAGAGGAGGAGGAAGAGGAGGAAUGUGACUAACUAGUGCCGGGGGCUCACUGAGUCACCUUUGCCAGCGGGCAGGGUCGCCAGGCAGAAAGAGGUCUGGAGGCGGGUAUAGCUUUCCUCGCCGGUGUGUUGAAUGCAGUCUGAGAGAAACGCUGCCGCAGAGCAUGAACUUCUGGAGGACACCUGGACAUUCUCUUUGUUCUCAGAACUCCCAUGUGGCAAGCAGGCCUGGGACCCCUCCUGGCCUCUGCCAGGGCUCCUUGCCAGGCUCAGAGGCAGAUGCACUUUCUCUUGAGAUUCAUCUCUCUGUGGCUCCAUCUCAUCCGGCACUUAUGGAUAUGCACUGGAUCACCUUUCCUUGCCAAUGGCUGACCCCAUAUUCAUGGUCGGGGAGAAGGCUGCCCUCUUCAUUGUCUAGCCGUGACCUUGCAGAACAGUUUCAUGCAUCAGAGUUCUGCUUUGAGGUGCAGAGCCUAAAGCCCAGCUAAAAAUAAAGCUCCCCCUUGGGGUUUUGCCUCCCUGGGGGACCACCAGGGAUGUCUCUCCAUUUGUAAAGUAGGGAUAAUGGAAGUUUCAGGUGGGCUUGGGUGCUCUUAGCGUCUCUGGCUGCAUUGCCCAAAGUUCUCUGGAUUGCUAGUGACAGAAAUCCAGCUCAAGCACCUUAAGGAAAGUGGUGUGCUGGUGAAUGUUUAAUAAGUGGCUCUCCAGGGGAAAAAAAAAAACAAAACCCUGAGUUGGAGUGUUUGCAAAUUUCCACGGGCUAGAAACUCCCCCAUGACUGUAAAUACUUCUACCAGGGCCCAUUUUGAGCUCCAACCCAUUUAAUAACCAGUUCACAAAAUUCCUGAAAAUUUAACAAUAGGCUCUUGCCAGACAGAAGGAGCCCACUCUGGUGUACACUUAAGGGAGGGGGAUGAUUGACUCAUGUCAUCAACACGUGGGAAGAGCAGGGACACAGAAAAUGACCUCAGGAAUGACAGGAACCAGGGAAUCUAACGCCAACAGGAUUCUCUCUGCAAACCAACCUAUUUUUUUCCAUCUGCAGAUAUACGCUCUCCAUAUUUCAAGAGACAUGACUGCUGGCAGCUUCCAGAGUCACAUCCUCACUGAUUCACGAGACAAAAAGGAGGGCUUCUCCUCCAGCCAGUGCUAGUUUGAAAAAUCCUAAUGAAGGGUUGACUAGUCUUUACCUGUUGCUUUCCCCUUGGAUGAGAGGGGAGCCUCCGGCUCAGGCCAGGCCUGCUUCGUAGCCGCCUUCAGGAUGAACUGAUGGAACUGACAUUGCCAGAGAGAACAUGCAAAUACUCAUCAGGAUGAGAGAUGGAAAGAGGUGCAUGUUGUCCUUU